UGGGGAAUUUUGGACAAUGGGCGAAAGCCUGAUCCAGCAAUGCCGCGUGUGUGAAGAAGGCCUUCGGGUUGUAAAGCACUUUUGUCCGGAAAGAAAUCCUUGGCUCUAAUACAGUCGGGGGAUGACGGUACCGGAAGAAUAAGCACCGGCUAACUACGUGCCAGCAGCCGCGGUAAUACGUAGGGUGCAAGCGUUAAUCGGAAUUACUGGGCGUAAAGCGUGCGCAGGCGGUUUGCUAAGACCGAUGUGAAAUCCCCGGGCUCAACCUGGGAACUGCAUUGGUGACUGGCAGGCUAGAGUAUGGCAGAGGGGGGUAGAAUUCCACGUGUAGCAGUGAAAUGCGUAGAGAUGUGGAGGAAUACCGAUGGCGAAGGCAGCCCCCUGGGCCAAUACUGACGCUCAUGCACGAAAGCGUGGGGAGCAAACAGGAUUAGAUACCCUGGUAGUCCACGCCCUAAACGAUGUCAACUAGUUGUUGGGGAUUCAUUUCCUUAGUAACGCAGCUAACGCGUGAAGUUGACCGCCUGGGGAGUACGGUCGCAAGAUUAAAACUU
rnacentral:rRNA from 1 species